rnacentral:ncRNA from 1 species
UAAAGGUUUGGUCCUAGCCUUACUGUUAAUUAUAAUUAAAACUACACAUGCAAGUUUCCGCUGCCCAGUGAGAAUGCCCUUAAAAUUCCAUAAAAUCAAAAGGAGCCGGCAUCAGGCACACCCUAGGUAGCCCAUUACGCCUUGCUUAACCACACCCCCACGGGAAACAGCAGUGACUAACAUUAAGACAUAAACGAAAGUUUGACUAAAUUAUAAUUAUAUAGGGUUGGUAAAUUUCGUGCCAGCCACCGCGGUCAUACGAUUAACCCAAAUUAACAGAAAGACGGCGUAAAGUGUGUUUAAGCUAAACAAGUAAAAUAAAGCUAAGAUUAGACUAGGCUGUAAUACGCCAGAGUUGACAUCAAAAUAAACAACCAAAGUGGCUUUAACUCCGCUGAGUACACGAAAGCUAAGACCCAAACUGGGAUUAGAUACCCCACUAUGCUUAGCCCUAAACCUAGAUAGUUAUUAUAACAAAACUAUUCGCCAGAGAACUACUAGCCAGCGCUUAAAACUCAAAGGACUUGGCGGUGCCCUAAACCCACCUAGAGGAGCCUGUUCUAUAAUCGAUAAACCCCGAUAGACCUCACCUCUUCUUGCUAAUACAGUCUAUAUACCGCCAUCGUCAGCUUACCCCAACAGGGAGGAAAAGUAAGCAAGAUAAUUAACCAUAAAAACGUUAGGUCAAGGUGUAACAUAUGAAGAGGAAAGUAAUGGGCUACAUUUUCUAUUUUAGAACACAACGGAUCAUCUUAUGAAACCUAAGAUAUGAAGGAGGAUUUAGCAGUAAAUCAAGAAUAGAGAGCUUGGUUGAAACAGGCAAUAGGGCGCGCACACACCGCCCGUCACCCUCCUCAAUAUUAAACCUACAUUUACCUAAUAAAUUAGAUAAUCAAAAGAGGAGAAAAGUCGUAACAUGGUAAGUGUACUGGAAAGUGCACUUGGAGUAC